rnacentral:rRNA from 1 species
CGUGUGGUAACACAACCACCUUUCUCGGGCGGGUGCUAGCGCAGAUCUUGUAUGGAAUUGUUGUUGAUCUGUGUUUUGCUCACCAGCGACUUGAGCACCUUUGUUCCGUUUUGGGUUGGUUGAGCUGUGUGAAGAGGCAUGGCUAUAUGUAUCUGUUUUCGACCUGAACUCAGACGUGAGUACCCGCUGAACUUAAGCAUAU